UCAAACUUGGUCAUUUAGAGGAAGUAAAAGUCGUAACAAGGUUUCCGUAGGUGAACCUGCGGAAGGAUCAUUAACAAUUGUCCACAUCAUGGAUAAUUACAUAUCCAUAUCCACCUUGUGUGCAUCAUUGAAGCGUUUGUUGGCAGGUUUUCAGGUUCUCUGAGCUUGACAAGGUUGUAUUGUUGCCAGGCCUGCCAAUUUUAUGUUUAAAACUUGUCUCAACAUUGCUUGUCUGAAAUUGAUUUAUCAUAAUAAAUACAACUUUCAACAACGGAUCUCUUGGCUCUCGCAUCGAUGAAGAACGCAGC
rnacentral:misc_RNA from 1 species